GACGAACGCUGGCGGCGUGCUUAACACAUGCAAGUCGAACGGAAAGGCCCUGCUUUUGUGGGGUGCUCGCGUGGCGAACGGGUGAGUAACACGUGAGUAACCUGCCCUUGACUUUGGGAUAACUUCAGGAAACUGGGGCUAAUACCGGAUAGGAGCUCCUGCUGCAUGGUGGGGGUUGGACAGUUUCGGCGGUUGGGGAUGGACUCGCGGCUUAUCAGCUUGUUGGUGGGGUAGUGGCCUACCAAGGCUUUGACGGGUAGCCGGCCUGAGAGGGUGACCGGCCACAUGGGGACUGAGGUACGGCCCAGACUCCUACGGGAGGCAGUAGGGGGGAAUAUUGCACAAUGGGCGGAAGCCUGAGGAAGCAACGCCGCGUGCGGGAUGACGGCCUUCGGGUUGUAAACCGCUGUCGCCUGUGACGAAGCGUGAGUGACGGUAAUGGGUAAAGAAGCACCGGCUAACUACGUG
rnacentral:rRNA from 1 species